CAAUAGCGUAUAUUAAAGUUGUUGCAGUUAAAAAGCUCGUAGUUGGAUUUCUGGCCGGGGCCAAGGAAGCAUUUGCGUGCGUCCGCGACCCUUGUCAUCCGUCUGUUAAGCCGGUAUUGCAUUUGCUUGCAGACCGGGGGCUCAGGCAAUUUACCUUGAGAAAAUUAGAGUGUUUCAGGCAGGCUAGCGCCGGGAUACAUUAGCAUGGAAUAAUGGAACAGGACUUGAGUCUCUUCUGUUGGUUCGAGGGAUUCAGUAAUGAUUAAUAGGGAUAGUUGGGGGCAUUAGUACUUUACUGUCAGAGGUGAAAUUCUUGGAUUUGUAAAAGACUAACUUAUGCGAAAGCAUUUGCCAAGGAUGUUUUCAUUAA
rnacentral:rRNA from 1 species